rnacentral:rRNA from 1 species
AUUGAACGCCGGCGGCAUGCCUUACACAUGCAAGUCGAACGGUAACGGGCCUUCGGGUGCCGACGAGUGGCGAACGGGUGAGUAAUGUAUCGGAACGUACCUUUCAGUGGGGGAUAACGUAGCGAAAGUUACGCUAAUACCGCAUAUUCUGUGCGCAGGAAAGCAGGGGAUCGCAAGACCUUGCGCUGAUUGAGCGGCCGAUAUCAGAUUAGCUAGUUGGUGAGGUAAAGGCUCACCAAGGCGACGAUCUGUAGCGGGUCUGAGAGGAUGAUCCGCCACACUGGAACUGGGACACGGUCCAGACUCCUACGGGAGGCAGCAGUGGGGAAUUUUGGACAAUGGGGGCAACCCUGAUCCAGCCAUGCCGCGUGAGUGAAGAAGGCCUUCGGGUUGUAAAGCUCUUUCGGCCGGGAAGAAAUCGUAUCAGCUAAUACCUGGUGCGGAUGACGGUACCGGCAUAAGAAGCACCGGCUAACUACGUGCCAGCAGCCGCCGUAACAC